rnacentral:rRNA from 1 species
AACUAGCAUGGGAUUACGGGUAACGGAGGAUCAGGGUUCGAUCCCGGAGAGGGAGCCUUAGAAACGGCUACCACAUCCAAGGAAGGCAGCAGGCGCGCAAAUUACCCAAUCCAGACAGUGGGAGGUGGGUGACGAAGAGUACCGGAUGACUAAAAUUUAUUUUAGUCAGGUCUGGAAAUGAAAUCAAUUUAAGCAAUUGAGUUGAGUAACUACUGGAGGGCAAGUCUGGUGCCAGCAGCCGCGGUAAUUCCAGCUCCAGUAGCGUGUCUCAAAGUUGCUGCGCUUAAAACGCUCGUAGUUGGAUGAGAAACUACACACUGGAUAGUUAUUCACUAUGUUAUUUGCUACAUAUUGGAUGUUUCUGUGAUGCUUUCAGCGUCCAGAUAAUAUUGAUAUUAGUUUGACUAGUGGUGACAUAUAACUGGUGUGUAGUAAUUGCGUAUGAGAAUGAUCAUUGACCUUAAGUGUGUUGAAGAUCGUGUCUCAUGGGAUGUGCCUUGAGUAAAUCAGAGUGCUCAAAGCAGGCGUUAUGCCUGAAUGUUGAUAGCAUGGAACGAACAAUAGUGUAGAUGUGUAUUGAACAUGGUAGUAUACUAUUCACCUAAUAGUAUACUGCUUCAAUAUGCAACACCGACCGCCAAUUACGGAUGUUGGUUCCGUAUUGGGGUACUGAUUAAGAGGAGCGGUUGGGGGCAUUGGUAUUUGGCAGCGAGAGGUGAAAUUCUUGGACCUGCCAAGGACUAACAAAUGCGAAGGCAUUUGUCCAGACCGUAUCCAUUAAUCAAGAACGAUAGUGAGAGGUUCGAAGACGAUCAGAUACCGUCCUAGUUCUCACUGUAAACUAUGCCGACCCGGGAUUAGUCCUAUGCCUUAUUAUUACGGCUUGGGUUGGUCCCCCUGGGAAACCUAAAGUUUUUCGGUUGCGGGGGGAGUAUGGUCGCAAGGCUGAAACUUAAAGGAAUUGACGGAAGGGCACCACCAGGGGUGGAGCCUGCGGCUUAAUUUGACUCAACACGGGAAAACUUACCGGAUCAGGACAUCAAAAGGAUUGUCAGACCGAAGAUCUUACAUGAUCUGGUGAUUGGUGGUGCAUGGCCGUUCUUAGUUCGUGAAGUGAUUUGUCAGGUUUAUUCCGGUAACGGACGAGAUCACAAUCUCCAUUUGACGAGCUGGAGUAAAUUCAAAUCUUCUUUAUAGACUGUAACAGGUCUGUAUUGAUAUGAUUUGAAUUGUUGGUAAGGUGUGAAAGAGAUACUUUGAAGCAUUGGGUGUGUUUAUGACAUGCUUGGUGUGGAUGGGUGUUGAAGUUGCACUUUCCCUCCAGUCAAACAUUGCAUGGCUAGCUUUUAGUUGUGUGGUGUAUCAUGGAGAGACAACGGAACAUAUCCAAAAUCCGAGGAAGUGUGGCUAUAACAGGUCUGUGAUGCCCUUAGAUGUUCUGGGCAGCACGCGCGCUACAAUGGCGACGACAACGAGUGUCUGAAUCGAAAGAUUUGGGUAAUCUUGCAAUCGUCGCCGUGAUGGGGAUUGACGUUUGUAAUUACGUCAUGAAAGAGGAAUCCCUAGUACGUGCGAUUCAUUAAAUCGCGCGGAUUUAGUCCCUGCCCUUUGUACACACCGCCCGUCGCUACUACCGAGUGAAUGGUGUCAUAAUGCCUUGGGAGCGGACAUCGUUCGGAUCUUGUAUU